GUGCCAGCCGCCGCGGUAAUACGUAGGUGGCAAGCGUUAUCCGGAAUUAUUGGGCGUAAAGCGCGCGUAGGCGGUUUUUUAAGUCUGAUGUGAAAGCCCACGGCUCAACCGUGGAGGGUCAUUGGAAACUGGAAAACUUGAGUGCAGAAGAGGAAAGUGGAAUUCCAUGUGUAGCGGUGAAAUGCGCAGAGAUAUGGAGGAACACCAGUGGCGAAGGCGACUUUCNUGGUCUGUAACUGACGCUGAUGUG
rnacentral:rRNA from 1 species